rnacentral:lncRNA from 1 species
UUCAAUAAAUUGUAUAUAUCAAUGAACCAUACAUAUAGUUGGUCAUUACAUACUUAAUUACAAUAGCCCAAAUUUCUAACAAUAACCCAAACUUUCCAUUUAUGUCUAAUUUAAACAAAAUAUACGUGCAGCCCAAAAGUGUACCAUAUCAACAAAAUAUACAUGUCUAAGCUACAAUAUGAACAUUUUCUUGUUGCAAAAUUCUUGCAUAUUUCUCAAACGAUUGAGCCCUUCCAUUUGUAGGUUUCCAACCUCUCCUUUAGCUCUUUUAUUUCAUGCCUCAAAGAAUAUACUUUCACAUCAUAACUUCCAAUUUUUUACUCGACAACCUGCAGAAGAAACAUUUAUUUUAUAAGAAUGAUAUUCUUUCAUCAUUAAGAUAGAAAGUGAUAUCCACGUCCUGUGAUAUGACAACACGUAAAAGUUAAAAAUGUUGGAAAUCACCUUGGAACAUGUAGGAAUGUACCGUGAUCAUUUUAUUUUUUUUAUUUUUUUUAUUGAGGUUCUAAAAUAUAAAAUUUGAAUAUGAUCACCCUAACACUUCAAUACUAUAUAAGAUAGAUAUUUAAUUGAAUGACUGAAACAAAAGGUUAUAUAAACAAAAUUAUCUAGCAAAAACUACACUUUUUAGUUAUUUACAUUACUUAAAAAAUAUAACAAAUCAAUCGAAUAUUUAUAAUGUAUAGAACAAUUUAAAAAACGAAAAAAACCCACAGAUCUUCAAUGAAAAAUACAAAAAAUACUCCAAUCAACAUGCGCGAUUAAUUAGCUACCCGCACGAGUAAUACAUUUGGUACACGAUCUUAUACCAAAAUCUAAAUGAUUGUGUACCAAAAUAUAAAUAAUCGUAUACGAAUAUCAACAAUUUUUUUCCAAGAUCAUGUACGAAAUAUAAAAGAUCAAUAUUUGGUACACGAUCUUGUAGAUUCUUUUAUAUUUGGUACACGAUCAUUUAGAUUUGGCAACACGAUCGUAUACCAAAUCUAAACGAUCAUGUACCAAUAUCUAACGUUUUUUUAAAGAUAUUUUAUAUUUGGUACACGAUUUUGUACCAAUAUCAACGGUUUUUGUUCAAGAUCGUGUACCAAGAUCUUUUAUAUUUAGUACACGAUCUCGAACCAAAUAACACUCUAAAAAAACAAUACAAGAUUUAUGAUUAAUUGAAAAUAAAAAUUAUGAUUUCAAAAAAUAUUAAAACAAAUUGUAAAAGAAGAAAAGAAGAAAGAAGAUGGAAAGAAAGGAAAAAUCUAUAAAAUUUUAAAAAAUAAAGGUCUUCAUUGACUUUUUGAUUUUGUUAGAUGAACCGUAUAUAUUUUGAUGUUUCGUUACGUUUAAUAAAAAAUAAGCUUAGAUAAUACUAUAUAUAAAUACUCGUAUUUAAUAAAUAAAUUUUCUAAUUGUGAGUAACAAGUCUACACUUCAACCACAUAAUUUUAUGUUAUAAAUAAAUGUAUAGUUUAAAAUGUAAAAUGCUAGCUGAAACUUCUUAACAAUAAUUAUAGGUUUUUUCUUAGAACCCUAUAACUUACAAAGUCAAUCGAAAUAUUUAAUUUCCAAAUAGAAUAAGAAUCAUGCACCGACCUUCUAUAUAGGCCUAAUGAUUUCCAUCUUUAGUGCAUUGAAUGAUAAAUAUUUAAUUAUUCCAAUUUACAUCCUACUUUAUGUUAAUUAAUAUAAAGUUUCAUAGCAUAUAUAAUUUGAUUAAUUAAAGAAAUAAUUACUUAUUUAAUUGUAAAUUAAUGAUCCACAGUUUAUUACAACUGGUGGGCUAUUACAAUUAGUUUUGAAAAGGAAGAAGGCUUAGUUUAUUUAUAGCCAAUGAUCAUGAGGCGUGUUCUUAACAAGAACAAAAAACUAGAAAAAUGUAUUAUAAUUGCUUCUAAUUACGGCUUCAAAAUAUUCUAUUUCUUAGCUUAAUUUAUAGACAAGUCAAUUUCGAAUUGAUUCAUUCCCAUGUUUUAUUAUCAACUUUUAUAUGAUACUUCUAACUUUUUUAUGAUUUCAUUAUCAAUAAUUAUUAAUAAAGUUCUUGGUAGAUGAGUUUAUUAAUUAGUUAGAUUAAAUUAGCAUUACAACAAAAUAUUUCUUUAUAGUCAAGAGAAGAGGUAUGUCAAACAAACUUCAACUAUCAUCUUAUUAUUUCAAACAAAAGUUCUUCCUUCUUUUUUAUUGAAUUGAAUUAGUAGAGAUUUAAAUCAACCAAUAAAAAUAUAAUGGAAAGAAACUUAAAUCCACGAAUAGAUAUUUGAUUUUAGGUUUUUGAAAACGAAACUUAUUAGCACAAUUUCUAAUUUAUGUUUCGUUAUCGAUUUUCGAACAAAUGACUUCUUUUAUUAAGAAUGUGAAAAUUACAAAGGGGAGGAAAUAAUAAGAACUUAAAAACUAAUUAAAAGGCAUGUUCUAAUUAAUGUAAUAAAUUCAAUAUAAAAGGAAAAGAAAAAAAAGGCUAGCUUUCAUUUUAUAUUUGGAGUACAUAGCAUUUGAAUUGAUUAAUAUCACACUUUAAUCAAAACAAUAGACGUGGGUGCAAUUUCCAAUUCAUUUUAAUUGCUAGUUUAUUCAUUAGUCAGAAGAACUAUAACUUUUUGAAAUCUCUUUUGACCUUACUUUAACUACUUUUCUCUAAAUUAUGUGAAUAAUUUAAUAAAAUAUAUAUAUAUUUUUUAUCACUUUAUCCCUUGUUCUUUGCAUCAAAAUAAUCAACUUUUUGUUCUUCUUUGAUAUAAAACAAUAAUAUCCUUACAAACGUUUAAUUAAAGAUUAAAAAGAAAACCCCAAGGAUUGGAAGUUUAAAAUACUUUUAAGUAUGUGUUUUUGUACUAUUUUUUUGUUUUUUUUGUUUUUUGGUAUCGAGAAUGAUUGUCACCACACAUUGUUGAUAAUAGAAAUAUUAACAAGGAUAGGAAUAGAACAUAUGUUAAAGAUAUAUGAAUUAUAUAUUUCGUUAAUAUUAAACUUAGUCAAACUAUCCAUUCUUUGUCUUUCAAUUAUGUUAAAAAUGAAUUAAGGAGAAUUGGUCGGACAAAUUUCGUCGCCUAAAUUCACACACCAAAUACUUCAUUCUAAUCUACCACAAGCAUAGUAACAAACAAAGUUGAACAUGGAAAGCAUGUGUAAUUUCACAGGUAACAAUUCAAGGUAAGCAAGAGGAAGGGGUUUGUAAUAGUUCUGGUGCAAUGGAACAAAACUGUACGAAAUUGGAUUUGAUUAUUUUAAAGAGUCUAACUUGUGUUAAUCGGAUUACGUAUAUAAUGUAUUUGAUCAUACAAUACUUUUAUCUUUAAAGAGUAGUGAUUGCUACCCAUACCUAAUUCAAUUAGAAAAACUAAUUGAUUUUUCUAAUUAAUUAAUUAGUUAGAAAAAUCAGUUACCUUUUCUAUUUGAUUUUUUCUAACCAAUUAAAUGAAAAGCAUUGAAACUCAAUUUUUGUGUAAAUUGCAUUAAAUUCUUGAGCAAAUCAAGGUGAUUAUCUAAAUUUCAAGUACCCAAUUAAAUAUUCACAUGGUUCAAAAUUCUAUGUUGAAUAGAACAACCCUCAUUUAAAUUAAAAGUGCCAUGCAAACUAUCCUACCCUUAUUGCUUCUUUUGACCCACAUACAACAUAACAACUAUUACAAGUGUACAUCAAUCAAGAGCAUAGAUCAUAGAGCCCAAAAGUUUUCAACAAUAUGAUAAUCCUUCCGUUAAACAAAAUUUGAGUGUACACAUGCAAGAUAACCUAAUACGAAAUUCACGAAUAGUACAUUAAAAUAUGGAAAAUAAUCCUAAGAAUCCAAGGUAGAAAGUUAUACCUUACCCCAUCUUGAACAUUUCGGAUGAUGGAGAGAAGAAAAUGGGCAUAUAAUUAAUGGAGAGAAGAAAAUGGACAUAUAAUUAAUAGAACUAAAAAUAUGGAAAACUAGAGAGAAAGUAGGCUUUGGUUGGCUGGAUAAGGUGGUCACUCUAACCUAGGCGAUUGAAGCACAUAUUUAUAACUUUCUGAUGACGCCACAGUGCUAUGCAGAACACUUGUGCAAUCAAAAUCUAAAGUAAAC